UACGUAGGUGGCAAGCGUUGUUCGGAAUUAUUGGGCGUAAAGGGCGCGUAGGCGGUUUGUUAAGUCGGUCGUGAAAGCCCGGGGCUCAACCCCGGAGGGUCGACCGAUACUGGCAGACUAGAGUACAGAAGAGGUAACUGGAAUUCCCGGUGUAGCGGUGAAAUGCGCAGAUAUCGGGAAGAACACCGGUGGCGAAGGCGGCUCUCUGGACCUGUCCUGACGCUCAGGCGCGAAAGCUAGGGGAGCGAACAGG
rnacentral:rRNA from 1 species